rnacentral:rRNA from 1 species
CCUCGGCGUACUGCUCAGUAACACGUGGACAAUCUGCCCUGGAGUGGAGGAUAAUCCCGGGAAACUGGGGGUAUACUCCAUAGUUCGUUAUGACUGGAAUGUCUUUCGAACGAAAGAUCCGUCGCUCCAGGAUGAGUCUGCGGCCGAUUAGAUAGUUGUUGGGGUAAAGGCCCAACAAGCCUGUAAUCGGUACGGGUUGUGGGAGCAAGAGCCCGGAGAUGGAUUCUGAGACACGAAUCCAGGCCCUACGGGGCGCAGCAGGCGCGAAAACUUUACAAUGCGGGAAACCGUGAUAAGGAAACCCCGAGUGCCAGCAUAGGCUGGCUGUCCGCCAGUGUAAAUAACUGGUGAAGAAAGGGCCGGGCAAGACCGGUGCCAGCCGCCGCGGUAAUACCGGCGGCUCGAGUGGUGGCCACUAUUACUGGGCUUAAAGGGUCCGUAGCUUGAUAUGCAAGUCUCUUGAGAAAUCCGCCGGCUUAACUGGCGGGCGUUCAGGGGAAACUGCAUUUCUAGGGACCGGGAGAGGUGAGAGGUACUGCCGGGGUAGGAGUGAAAUCCUGUAAUCCCGGUGGGACCACCUAUAGCGAAGGCAUCUCACCAGAACGGGUCCGACAGUGAGGGACGAAAGCUGGGGGAGCAAACCGGAUUAGAUACCCGGGUAGUCCCAGCUGUAAACGAUGCGCGUUAGGUGUGUCAGUGACCACGUGUCACUGAGGUGCCGAAGGGAAACCGUGAAACGCGCCGCCUGGGGAGUACGGUCGCAAGGCUGAAACUUAAAGGAAUUGGGCGGGGGAGCACCACAACGGGUGGGGCCUGCGGUUUAAUUGGAUUCAACGCCCGGGAAGGGCG